rnacentral:tRNA from 1 species
GCGCCUGUAGCUCAGUUGGAUAGAGCAACGGACUUCUAAUCCGUGAGCCAGGGGUUCGACUCCCUUCAGGCGCACCA